rnacentral:rRNA from 1 species
UACAGAGGGUGCGAGCGUUGUUCGGAAUUACUGGGCGUAAAGCGCGCGCAGGCGGCUCUUUAAGUCUAUGGGUCAAAGCCCGGGGCUCAACCCCGUGGUCGCCCGGGAUACUGGAGAGCUAGGGACAGUGUAGGGGCGAGCGGAAUUCCGGGUGUAGCGGUGGAAUGCGUAGAGAGUCCGGAAGAACACCGGGGCGAAGGC